rnacentral:lncRNA from 1 species
GGCAAAGAGUUGUUCACGCAUUAGUGUGCAUGUUAUCAAUAAUUGUUAGAUGAGGUACAUGACAUCGGUGAGACCGCAACACCCACUAGAAAUUUAUUUAUCGCAUUAGAAUUUCUAUUUUGCACCAGAGGAGUAGAGGGAUCCGAAAAAAAAUAGUGGGAGACAUUGUUUGCAUCUUAAAGUCUCUAGAAGCAAAUAUAAUUUUAAAGUAUAAAAGUCUAACUUGAAUCUCUACUCUCGUAAUUAAAUAAUGUCAGCCUCAAACCCUCUAGCCCGCAUCCUUGAAUCAAAUCAUUUUAUCGAAACAAACUAUAAAGACCAGCUAAAAAAUCUCAAAAUUAUCCUAACUUUUAAAAAACUAAGUCAUGUACUCGACCAAGAACCCCUCGUAUUACCAAACCAUCCUACUACUGAGCAAAGAGCGCUUAUGAAAAGUAGAUGGAUGAAGACAGUCAGGUCAAGUACUAUGUG